AGUGCCGGUGCACGCUGCCUCCUGCGAAAAACCUCCCUGCCACUGCUGUUAAAUGAAAGACAACUCACCGCCACUGAAAAGGUGCUGAGGAGGUGUUUUGCUCUUAGGAGCAGACAGGAGUCAUUCUGAUCCUCCCUCCCCCGACCCCUCCCUUCAUGGCUUCCUUUUCUCCUUACAACCACGCAGCUUUGAAAUGCUUCAGUGUCCACAAAAGGUGAAACUCAUUUCAGCUUUGGAGAGGUUAUUCCCAGCUGGUGUAUGGUUUAAUUAACCUGGAGGCUCCUUUGUGCUGGAGCUGUGAUCUCCUCAGUUUCGCAUUGGCUCUAACUUUUAAUCAUCCCAUGAUGCCUUUUGGUAAAAUACUUGAAAUAAGCUUGAUAAGAAGUGUCAAGAAACUACAGUGCUAAGGGAAAUCAAGAUCUAAAUUGUAAUUAACCAGAAUCCCUAAGUUAAAAACUACUGUGAAGCUUUGGCCCGAGGGGAGGAUGAAUCUUGUAAGCUGACAUUCCAUUUUACUGAAGCCCCAUUAUUGCCAGGCAUGUCUACAUUUGAAAAAAAAAGACAUUUUCUUCUAAAAUUGUAGGAAGCUCUUACCCUCUGCCCCGUUGUAUCAUUUAACUUGCUUCUGUAUGCCUCUUUAGUGUCAAGAUGUUAUGAAAUUAUAAUAAUCAAUCUACCACUUAUGUUUAACUGUAUGGGCAAAAGGAAGGCAGAAAAGUUCAGAGUGGCCUAAUACGUAAGGAAGUGAUAAUUCAUCAGCAUGUGAGAGCAAAAUAUGCCUUAAGCAACCAACAGGCUUUAAGCCGCUAUAGUCUGUAUCCUCAGUAUUGUCCUGACCCUCCCUUCUUGGUGCUAGGUUUUCACCCACUGUCUAGUCUGUUCAACUGCUGCAUUGAAGUCUAGAGAUAAGUAAGUCAUGGCUGGGGAGAGAUAUGACAAACGUAACACUGAGGCAGGCCUCAAGUGGUCAGAGUUGUAAGAGAUCAUAGGGCAUUCCAGUUUAUUCAUGCUAGUGGGAGAAGGGUAGAUUAAGAGCUGGAGGAGAGGAGUGUGAGAAAAAUGUAAAAAUUCAGGGCAUUUUAAAGAGGAGCCAGGCACACGUUCUGAUCAUCUGUGGGUUAUGCAUACUUAGACACAGCCUUUGCUAUAGGACUUGAACAACCUUUUAGUCUCAGAUCUACUUGUGGUACAUAGGAGUAUUGCAGUUUGUAAUACUGGGCAGCCAGUAGUUUACAGGUCAUUGUUCUGAGCUCUAUCUUAUUUUUGGUAACGUUGAGCUUCCACUUGUAGAAAGGAGGCUCCAGAUGCUUGUCACAGCUAAUGGCUGCAAGCCCAUUAUCACAAAGUUGAGCAAAACAGCUUACCCCUCUUCUGCUGAAUGUUCUCUGCCAGGUGCAGAGGACAUCUGUGAUUAGCUGCAACACUAAAGAUUUUGGUUGAUGUGCUGCAAUUUUGCCUGCUUUAUAAACCUAUAUGGUACAAAAUUAGUAAAUGGGAUUUUUUUUUAGCAAAAAAUGAAAAGAAAUAAACCCUAAGAAACAUCUUUAUUUAUAUCAAGUUGCUAUUAAUUUUGAUGGAAUACAAGUUGCACUUGCAAUUGACCAUCCUCCUUGGUAUUUUGUAUUUCUUUGCUCUUUUGUAAGAUUCUGGGGUUCUAUUAAACUAGGAUUACAAUGUGGGAUAUGAAUUCCCAUAUGAAAUCCUUAUCCCCCAGUCGUCAAUGUGCAUUCCUUCAGGUACCUACUAGAACCAGAGCAAAUUCUUGCAGGGCUUUUUGUUUUUUUUAAGCACAAGCAGCCCCUUUUUCCAGCUGAUUGAACUAUACCUCGUUCUAGCCAAUGCCAUGACUCUUCUUGAUAGGAUCAAUAGAAUGGUUACAAAAGUAUCCCUCUCCCCAAAGAAUCAGAAUGUGCAGUCUCUUCUACUUUGCUGAUACAUUAUCUGUUUUAAACUUCACAGGUUUUAGUUUUCUAUCCCCAUCCAUUCCCCUCGCUCCCUUUUUAGUUUGUCUAAAAUGAACAUUUUUAGCUGCACACGUUUCUAAGCCUCCCCUUGUGAUAAAUGCAAAAACACAUUUGACAAGGUUGUUGUUUUUUUUAUUUGUUACCACCCUCUACUCUUAACUAUUUGCAGUGGAAUCACUGUACAUGUAAAAUGAAUGAUUAUUACAGAAUUUAUCAAUUAUGCCUUCACUAAUGUUACUCUUUUCAUUAUCAGACACUUGAGAAAAAGAGAUAGGAAAUGUUCACAUACACCCAUCCUCUCCCUUAGACUAGUACUGUAAGAUGCCAGUGUCUGCUUAGACACAGCAAUAAGUCUCAAAAGCUUGUCUCUUUCACCAACAGAACUUGUUCCAAUAAAAUAUUACCUCACCUACCUUGUUAUUGAAAAGAUAGCCAUUCUCUGCCUUCUGGUCCAAAAGGACUGAUUUUCCACUGUAUCUAUUGGGAAAAGACUUCAUUUCCCCAAUACAAGGAUCGUUUGAAAAUUAAGUCUUUUAUUGCCCUCCUUCCUCCCAUACUUGGGUGGGGGGUUUCCCACAGAUUUUCCCACGGGGCAUUUUACAAUCUUAAACAAGUCAUUUAAAAUUGGUAUGUUAAUUAUUCUGAUUGAUCAAAAUGUUUCUAGAAGCGUAGAUGUAAGCUGAGCAUGAAGAAAGCACUUACCUCUAGCAGUAAAGGGAAACUCUUCCAGCAGCAAGUCAGUGCUGCCAGAAGUGGCUGGCAGCUGUAGUGUCCUAGUGGGAUUAAUGGGCAGGCUGGAGAGAGAAGGACUGCUGUAUGUCUGGCCUUUACACACUGCUGGGCACCUGAUUGGCUGCAGUUGCACAAUUCCCUCACAGAGACUGGUCCCCUGACUAAAGCUACAAGUGAAGGCUGGGACUGUGUUCAUCAUCCCUUUUCUCCCUUCCUAAGGAAUCCAGACCACUCCCCCAAAGAGACUGACUGGCCUGAUAUUUGUAUUACCCCGUUCCAUAGAAAAAUCAGGCGAGGUUUAGGAAAAACAGAUUUCAAUUUAGUUAGGAACUGAUGAUAUGUUACAUUUGCAACCACCUGUUGCAAAUGUUGGAUCUGAGAUGCUGCCCCACAGGAGUAUGGAAUCUUUGAGGACAGGAGGCCCAUUCAUCCCACUUCAGCCCUACCUUCUCAGGGACAGUUCAGGAUCUGAGCAGCCAAAUCUCUCUCAGCAACAUGUGCCUGUCCCUGAGGUACAAUUUUCUAACAUAAAUAGUUAUAAAUUGUGCCAGUCCAUAAUAGAGAAGUGGGGGAGGAAAGUACAGUAUGUGUUAUUUCCCAUUCCUAAAUGUGUCUACUUGUGUAUAUGUCACUCUAAGCUUAAAUUGUGAACUCCUAUGCACAGAGACUGUUCCUUCUAGUCUCUCUGGAAAGUGCCUAGCAGAAAGCAAGCACUACCAUAAACAGAUAACAACAACAACAGGUGGAGAUAGGUAAUGGAGAAGAAAAGCAACUGUAAAGUCAUGUCUGAUUUCUUCAAGUCUUGUUUCUUUAUAGAGAAAUUUAAAACACACUCCUUCCUGGAGGCCUCUAAAUUGCAGCACCUCCCCAUCAAAAGUAGAACUAACAAAAUAGACAAAUCAGCAAAAUACACAAAAUAUAGUAACAAAUAUAUUCCCAAGCAGGCUACCAAUGUCAUCCUCCAUCCACUUUUGAAGGUUAAGAGGGCAACAAACGUGGGUGAGCAGUUAAAUUUCUCCAUGCAGCUAUGAAAGAUCAUGUGAGGUAUAUUUUAUAUGUAGUUAUUUUUCCUAAAUUUGUAACUAGACUCAGGAGCAAUUACAGAGAUUGCCAGUAGUAAAACCACCAUAUCUGCCAAAAUUGUGAGUCAUUUCCUUAAUUUAAAUCUCUUAAGCACUUAGACUUUGACUGGAAUUUCUUCCGUGAGCCACCCUCUUCCAAUUGGGAGUUCACCAAUAAAACAGAACUUGCACUCUAAACUGCACUUUAAAAAUAUUGAAAAAUCAUUGAUGUCCUAUAGUUACUAUAAGAAAAGAACUAAGACAUAUCUUUCCUACACCAUCUUAAAUCAUUUUAACCUGCAAUUAUAAAGCAGAAAUCAGAACAAAUUAGACAUCCAAGAAAAACUCCACAAGGAAAAAACAGGCCCAGAAUCUGUCUCUCUGCAAAAGACAUAUACACGCAUAUUUAGUAACCAAAGAGUAACCUGAUCAGAAAUCAUUUCCUUUUGUCUCUAACCAUGUGGUCCACAUUAUACAGUGUGUGAAAUGUUAUAUCACACAAAAGUAACAAACUGACAACAAACAACAAAUCUCAGAUCAACUAAUCUAUUAAAAUUUCAUUGAUAAAACAAGUUUACAUAAUUUUAAAACAAUUAAUUACUGGGCUUUUCAGAAUAUGUGAUGCUCAUUAUCUAGAGACUAUUGCAACACACACAAAGAAAUCAGAACUUGGUUUAAGAUUAAGUACUGCUUUAGUGUGUUUUAAAAUUUCAUGUCUCAUAUUUCAUUAAUAGCAUGCAGUAUAGGCCUGCUCGUGUUACCAGUUAAAUCCAUAUCAAAACUCCCACUGACUAAUAUGAGAUUAGGGGCAAAUCCAACAUAUAAUAAUUUUGUUGAUAUUCAACUAACUUGUUUGAACAUGUGAUAUCAACAUCACAUAAAUACAAAUGACUAAUUAGUACGUGACUAGUAGUAAGAGGCAGUUAGUAAUACAAGUGGGCUUACUGCAGGGUCUGAAUCUGUUGAAAACCAGACACAUGCCAUGAGACAGAUGUAUUUAUAUGCAGAGCAGCUAAUAAAUAUAUCUUGAAGCUAUGGAACUCACAAUUCUGGACUCAGCAAAAUAUAAAAUCUCUGCCGUGGGAACAGAGGAGGUUAAGCAGCUUGAGGAUUGCUAACUCUAUUCAAUAUUUAACCUUGGGGAAGGGCUUCAAUUUCAAAUUCUGGCCCUGGUUAUUUAACCCCUAAAAUCUAGUUACAUCCUAUCUGCCCACAUACUGGCCUGUAUAAUGAAUGUAUUUGCUGAAAAACAAUUGUAGCCAUUACUUUCUUAAAUGGAGACUGUGGUUAUUACUAUAUCAGCUGACGAUUCUGGGUCUGCUGAGAAAAAGAGCUAUUAAAAUCUCAGUGAAAUCAGUCAUAAUUAGGAAGAGUAAAUGAGAGAGCAGGGUAAUCUCCAUACAAUAUAUUUUAGAUUUCACAUUUACACAUUGGGGUAUUAGCUUCAAGUUGCUGGCAUCCUAGCAUUCACAUAACAAACAAUGCCUUUUAUAUAGAAAUGUAUGGCUAGAAGAGACCUUGGGAGGUCAUCUAUUCUAGCCCCCUGUGAUGAGGCAGGACAAAUUAUAUCUAGAACCCUCCACUGUAACCUAUUUCAGUACUUAACUAUCCUUAUAGUUAGAAAGUUUUUUCUGAUAUAUAACCUAAAUCUGCUUGCUGCAGAUUAAGCCCAUUACUUCUUGUGCUGCUUUCUGUGGACAUGGAGAACAAGUGAUCACCAUCCUCUUUAUUAACAGCCCUUAACAUAUUCGAAGACUGUUAACAUGUCUCCGCUCAGUCAAUCAUCUUUUCUCAAGACUAAACAUGCCCAGGUUUGUUUGGUUUUUAACCUUUCCUCAUAGGUCACGUUUUCUAAAACUUCUAUCAUUUUUGUGGCUCUCCUCUGGACUCUCUCGGAUAUGUCCACAUCUUUCCUAAAGUGUGGCGCCCAGAACUGGACACAGGACUCCAGGCCAAAUCCUUUAGACUUUGCCAAAUCCUGUAAACUUCCACUGACUUCAAAAGGUACUCUCUCCAAUUUGUCCACAGGGUGGUGCCCAGAACUGGAUACAGGACUCCAGGCCAAAUCCUUUAGACUUUGCCAAAUCCUGUAAACUUCCACUGACUUCAAAAGGCCCUGCAUCCUGGUGAUCUAUUUAGGGAAGGAAUGAAGUGGAUUCCUCCAAAUCCCACUAUCACUGCUCUUUACAAACACCAGAGGAGUAUAUACUAUGCAAAUUGUUGCCUCCAGAGGACUUAAUUUUUUGUUGGUCAAGGACUGAGGGACCAAAUUUAACACCUGAAUGAAGUCAGACAUGCUAUACACAGCAGCCUACCAGGUUGGUAGAGGUUAUGCCAUUGUUAGUGUUAUACUAAAGGACGGAGAGGCAGAAGAAAUUCUCAGCCUCAGCUUUCAGACAGAAUCUAGCUUUUCUUAAUGGUUCAACAUCCCCAGUGAUGCUAGUGUACAAAUAUAUUUUAACACAAGGAAAUUUAAGUGAAGGUUAAAAACAGCCAUGGUUAGUUUCAAUGCCAUUGGAAAUACAGGGUAAACAAGUUUACACAAAGAAAGGGGAUAUAAAGAACCAGGUUUUUCUUACAAUCUCCUAACGUAUUAAAAAUACUGAUUAAGAGUAUGUGAUAGUGUGCUGUUAAAAUUUUACAUUGAUAGGCAGCGGAAACGAGGAAGCGAAACUCACUCCACUCACUUUUAACUUUGAUGUCUUUUCAUGGAGCAUCAUCAUCUCUUUUCUAAUAUUCACUAGCUUGUUGUGAUAAUGUUUAGCUUCUGAAAACUUUAAAAACACAAGACAGUUGAAUGGUAAGAUUCAAUGGCUCAAAAUGGUUGUUAGUCUGGAGUAUGAAGCUAUGCCCUAAAACAGCAACUUCAAAAACAGGCUGAAGAUCAGUCAGUCAGUUUGAGAUUGGCUUGAAUAUUUUAGGGUCUUAAUUCUAAACACUUAAAACAAUUUUCAUAAAAUUACUAUGUAUCAAAGGGUGCAGAUUACUAUAAUUAUUUAAAUAUUCAUUAAGGGAGAAGCAAGCAUUAUAUCACUUGUAUGCUCAUUAGUUUUCAGUUUUAUAUCCCAAUGUGCCAAAGCUUAGCAAGUGCUAGUCUUAAAAUUCAAGCUCUUAUAUGGUUCCACACUUAAUUAAUUCUCAAGCCUACAGUUCUGGCUUCAUAUGUCACAACUGCAUAUACAAUUUCUGUAAGACACUGUCAUUUGCCUUAAACUGUGGCAAUCAUGAAGUACAGAUGUGAUUUUUUUGUUGUUAGAAUAUCUCCUCAAGUUAGCACUAACAAACUCAAAAAAUAUGCAACUAAAUCAAAGGACCAAAUGCUAGUCCCUGUGUACAGUCUGAGUAAAUGUAGGAGAGUGAACCAGAAUCCUUCCACCAACCUGGGGGGUAGGACAGAGUAUCAUGGGCACCCUAUGGCUGCUCCUGGAGCCUCAGUAGCAUAUGCAAUCUUUAUGCACUGAUUUUUGGCUUCUAGAUUUAUAUAGCUGGACCCACGGUCUAUGCCUGCUAAUCCCUCAUCUGCAGGCCAGUAAGGGUAUGUCUACGCUACAAUAAAAGACCCUCAACAGGGCCGCAGCUGGCUUGGGUCAGAUGACUUGGGCUCACAGGGGUUGGCCUGGUGGCUAUAAAAUUGCAGUGUAGACAUUUGGUCUUGGCCUGGAGCCUGGGCUCUGAGACCCAGUGAGUGGGGAGGGUCUCAGAGCCUAGACUCCAGGCCACACCUAAAAGUCUACACUUCAAUUUUAUAGCUUCACACCUCAAGCCCCCCAUCAGCUGACCCAGGCGAGAAGUCGCCAUGUUGCAGGUCUUUUAUUGCGGAUAUACAUACCUGUACAGACCUGAGCAGUCCUCCAUGUUCUCCUCUUCCCAUUUAAUAGAAUUAUGUUGGUUCUGUUGUAUUUUCCAAUUUACAAAGAACAGACUUAUUGAUGUAAUGAUUAUUAGUCGUCUAUUUAUAACAUUUUCUCAGGAGAUGAAAAACAAUACAUGUACAUGAUACACAUUUUUGUUAAAACAGGCAAACUUAUAAUAGAAUACACUUACCAAAGCAUUGAUAUCAAGAAUGGAAUUACAUUCUUUGAAUUUUGAGAUUUCUUGCUCUAAUGUGUCUAGUAACACUACUUGAUUCUGUCUGAAACAAAAAUACAAAGACUUUAAGACAUACAGAAGAAGUCAGAUUAAAUACACUAUCUUGGAUUGAUUAAAGAGUACUCACAAUUUUGAGUUUUACUACUGUUCUCUUCACUGAAAUCUUAACAUACUGAUCGUUAAUGAGCUAUAAUGCCAGAAAUAAGUUGUAUAAAAAUCAAUAUUCCAAGAGAAAUUUUUCAGAUUAACUAUUUCUUUUGUACUAAAUAGUUUUUUUGUCCAUAUUAGAAGAAGAAGAAGAAGAAGAAUCAGGAAACCUACACAAGUAGAUAAAGGAACCGAGUCUUUUCAGAUUUUUUUUAAACUGACAUUUAAAUGAAUUCUAAUUAAACAGUUAUAAA